UUAAGCGACUAAGCGUACACGGUGGAUGCCCUGGCAGUCAGAGGCGAUGAAGGACGUGCUAAUCUGCGAAAAGCGUCGGUAAGGUGAUAUGAACCGUUACAGCCGGCGAUGUCCGAAUGGGGAAACCCAGUGCAAUUCGUUGCACUAUCGUUAACUGAAUACAUAGGUUAACGAGGCGAACCGGGGGAACUGAAACAUCUAAGUACCCCGAGGAAAAGAAAUCAACCGAGAUUCCCCCAGUAGCGGCGAGCGAACGGGGAGCAGCCCAGAGUCUGAAUCAGCUUGUGUGUUAGUGGAACGGUCUGGAAAGUCCGACGGUACAGGGUGAUAGUCCCGUACACCAAAAUGCACAGGUUGUGAACUCGAAGAGUAGGGCGGGACACGUGGUAUCCUGUCUGAAUAUGGGGGGACCAUCCUCCAAGGCUAAAUACUCCUGACUGACCGAUAGUGAACCAGUACCGUGAGGGAAAGGCGAAAAGAACCCCGGCGAGGGGAGUGAAAAAGAACCUGAAACCGUGUACGUACAAGCAGUGGGAGCACCUUUAUGGUGUGACUGCGUACCUUUUGUAUAAUGGGUCAGCGACUUAUAUUCUGUAGCAAGGUUAACCGUAUAGGGGAGCCGCAGGGAAACCGAGUCUUAACUGGGCGUUAAGUUGCAGGGUAUAGACCCGAAACCCGGUGAUCUAGCCAUGGGCAGGUUGAAGGUUGGGUAACACUAACUGGAGGACCGAACCGACUAAUGUUGAAAAAUUAGCGGAUGACUUGUGGCUGGGGGUGAAAGGCCAAUCAAACCGGGAGAUAGCUGGUUCUCCCCGAAAGCUAUUUAGGUAGCGCCUCGUGAAUUCAUCUUCGGGGGUAGAGCACUGUUUCGGCUAGGGGGUCAUCCCGACUUACCAACCCGAUGCAAACUACGAAUACCGAAGAAUGUUAUCACGGGAGACACACGGCGGGUGCUAACGUCCGUCGUGAAGAGGGAAACAACCCAGACCGCCAGCUAAGGUCCCAAAGUCACAGUUAAGUGGGAAACGAUGUGGGAAGGCACAGACAGCCAGGAUGUUGGCUUAGAAGCAGCCAUCAUUUAAAGAAAGCGUAAUAGCUCACUGGUCGAGUCGGCCUGCGCGGAAGAUGUAACGGGGCUAAACUGUGCACCGAAGCUGCGGCAGCGACACUAUGUGUUGUUGGGUAGGGGAGCGUUCUGUAAGCCUGCGAAGGUGGCCUGUGAGGGUUGCUGGAGGUAUCAGAAGUGCGAAUGCUGACAUAAGUAACGAUAAUGCGGGUGAAAAGCCCGCACGCCGGAAGACCAAGGGUUCCUGUCCAACGUUAAUCGGGGCAGGGUGAGUCGACCCCUAAGGCGAGGCCGAAAGGCGUAGUCGAUGGGAAACAGGUUAAUAUUCCUGUACUUGGUGUUACUGCGAAGGGGGGACGGAGAAGGCUAUGUUAGCCGGGCGACGGUUGUCCCGGUUUAAGCAUGUAGGCGGAGGUUCCAGGUAAAUCCGGUACCUUAUUAACGCUGAGGUGUGAUGACGAGGCACUACGGUGCUGAAGUAACAAAUGCCCUGCUUCCAGGAAAAGCCUCUAAGCAUCAGGUAACAUUGAAUCGUACCCCAAACCGACACAGGUGGUCAGGUAGAGAAUACCAAGGCGCUUGAGAGAACUCGGGUGAAGGAACUAGGCAAAAUGGUGCCGUAACUUCGGGAGAAGGCACGCUGAUAUGUAGGUGAAGCCCCUGCGGGUGGAGCUGAAAUCAGUCGAAGAUACCAGCUGGCUGCAACUGUUUAUUAAAAACACAGCACUGUGCAAACACGAAAGUGGACGUAUACGGUGUGACGCCUGCCCGGUGCCGGAAGGUUAAUUGAUGGGGUUAUCCGUAAGGAGAAGCUCUUGAUCGAAGCCCCGGUAAACGGCGGCCGUAACUAUAACGGUCCUAAGGUAGCGAAAUUCCUUGUCGGGUAAGUUCCGACCUGCACGAAUGGCGUAAUGAUGGCCAGGCUGUCUCCACCCGAGACUCAGUGAAAUUGAACUCGCUGUGAAGAUGCAGUGUACCCGCGGCAAGACGGAAAGACCCCGUGAACCUUUACUAUAGCUUGACACUGAACAUUGAGCCUUGAUGUGUAGGAUAGGUGGGAGGCUUUGAAGCGUGGACGCCAGUCUGCGUGGAGCCAACCUUGAAAUACCACCCUUUAAUGUUUGAUGUUCUAACGUUGGCCCCUAAUCGGGGUUGCGGACAGUGUCUGGUGGGUAGUUUGACUGGGGCGGUCUCCUCCCAAAGAGUAACGGAGGAGCACGAAGGUUAGCUAAUCCUGGUCGGACAUCAGGAGGUUAGUGCAAUGGCAUAAGCUAGCUUGACUGCGAGCGUGACGGCGCGAGCAGGUGCGAAAGCAGGUCAUAGUGAUCCGGUGGUUCUGAAUGGAAGGGCCAUCGCUCAACGGAUAAAAGGUACUCCGGGGAUAACAGGCUGAUACCGCCCAAGAGUUCAUAUCGACGGCGGUGUUUGGCACCUCGAUGUCGGCUCAUCACAUCCUGGGGCUGAAGUAGGUCCCAAGGGUAUGGCUGUUCGCCAUUUAAAGUGGUACGCGAGCUGGGUUUAGAACGUCGUGAGACAGUUCGGUCCCUAUCUGCCGUGGGCGCUGGAGAAUUGAGGGGGGCUGCUCCUAGUACGAGAGGACCGGAGUGGACGCAUCACUGGUGUUCGGGUUGUCAUGCCAAUGGCAUUGCCCGGUAGCUAAAUGCGGAAGAGAUAAGUGCUGAAAGCAUCUAAGCACGAAACUUGCCCCGAGAUGAGUUCUCCCUGAGACUUUAAGUCUCCUGAAGGAACGUUAAAGACGAUGACGUUGAUAGGUCGGGUGUGUAAGCGUAGCGAUACGUUGAGCUAACCGAUACUAAUGAACCGUGAGGCUUAACCUU
rnacentral:rRNA from 1 species